rnacentral:rRNA from 1 species
GGUGCAUUAGCUAGUUGGUAAGGUAACGGCUUACCAAGGCAAUGAUGCAUAGCCGAGUUGAGAGACUGAUCGGCCACAUUGGGACUGAGACACGGCCCAAACUCCUACGGGAGGCAGCAGUAGGGAAUCUUCCACAAUGGACGAAAGUCUGAUGGAGCAACGCCGCGUGAGUGAAGAAGGGUUUCGGCUCGUAAAGCUCUGUUGGUAGUGAAGAAAGAUAGAGGUAGUAACUGGCCUUUAUUUGACGGUAAUUACUUAGAAAGUCACGGCUAACUACGUGCCAGCAGCCGCGGUAAUACGUAGGUGGCAAGCGUUGUCCGGAUUUAUUGGGCGUAAAGCGAGUGCAGGCGGUUCAAUAAGUCUGAUGUGAAAGCCUUCGGCUCAACCGGAGAAUUGCAUCAGAAACUGUUGAACUUGAGUGCAGAAGAGGAGAGUGGAACUCCAUGUGUAGCGGUGGAAUGCGUAGAUAUAUGGAAGAACACCAGUGGCGAAGGCGGCUCUCUGGUCUGCAACUGACGCUGAGGCUCGAAAGCAUGGGUAGCGAACAGGAUUAGAUACCCUGGUAGUCCA